rnacentral:rRNA from 1 species
UACGUAGGGUGCGAGCGUUAAUCGGAAUUACUGGGCGUAAAGCGUGCGCAGGCGGGCUUUUAAGCCAGACGUGAAAUCCCCGGGCUUAACCUGGGAAUGGCGUUUGGGACUGGAAGUCUGGAGUGCGGCAGAGGAGACUGGAAUUCCUGGUGUAGCAGUGAAAUGCGUCGAUAUCAGGAGGAACACCGAUGGCGAAGGCAGGUCUCUGGGCUGACACUGACGCUCAUGCACGAAAGCGUGGGCAGCAAACAGG